UUCCAGAUAUGCAGAUAAGGUACGCAUAAAAUCUGGAACCUAAUUGAGCGCUAACCAAUCGACGUCACUAACUACGAAGCCACGAAGACUACCAUGAAAUCCAAUAAUUCGCUGCUCUCUAAUGCCAUAACGCAAUCGUACAACCAGCAGGGGAUCAGUUAUCACUAGAGUAGUUCCACAGAUCCCUCCUCCCCCCAACGUAACAUUGGAUGCCAUCCUCAUUAUACCCUUCCACACAGACACAGUGUCAUCUUCGAAACAUACUGCAGGCAAUUUCGCAACGUUGCUUCAUUCUCAGGGAUGUAGUGGCGGAGUGAAUAAAAAGUGCCUCAGUAAAGGCCGAACUAGCAAAAGAGUGCGCCUGCGCAAUAUGAUAAACAUACCGGGUAUGGGUGGUAAAUCAAGCAACAUGAGAAAUUUGCAUCGUUUCUGCACUGUGACGAACCGUUACUAGCUUUGUAUAACGCGUCUUUUCAUGUUACUGGUUGAAAUUUGUUGUAAAAAUACUACUACAAGGGAUACCGUAGUUAUUUUAUUAUUUACAUAAAUGUAUUUACAGGAAGAAACAAUGUAAUGAAGGCACGACUUUGAAAUCCUAGCAAUAUCUGUACACGCUUCGUCAAUAUAGAACCCAAUUCUGGGCGUAUCAGUUCAUCAACUAUCUCGCAGGACAGUUGGCAUUCAGAGGAUAUCAAAUGAGAAAAAUCAUCGAACACAAACUGUGGGGUAGGAUGGUGCCCCUUUCAGGUGUUCGCUGCGUCACUGAGAUUGUUGUAUAUUAACGAAUAAUAUACAACCUUGCAACUACAAUCUAGUUUCUACGGAUCCGAAUGAAUCUGUUUAAUCCAAUUUUUGAAAUAAAUGUUUCAUUUCUUGCUACCAAUUUUAGAGACAAAUAAAAACGAAGU